UACGUAGGAGGCAAGCGUUGUCCGGAAUUACUGGGCGUAAAGCGCGUGUAGGUGGUGGGACAGUCUGCUGUGAAAGCGCCUGGCUUAACCGGGCGAGGUCGGCGGAAACUGUCCGACUCGAGGACGGUAGAGGGGGGUGGAAUUCCCGGUGUAGUGGUGAAAUGCGUAGAGAUCGGGAGGAACACCUGUGGCGAAGGCGGCCCCCUGGGCCGGCCCCUGACACUGAGACGCGAAGGCGUGGGGAGCGAAUGGG
rnacentral:rRNA from 1 species